GAUGAACGCUGGCGGCGUGCCUAAUACAUGCAAGUCGAGCGAACAGAUGAUGCGCUUGCUCCUCUGACGUUAGCGGCGGACGGGUGAGUAACACGUGUAUAACCUACCUAUCAGACUGGGAUAACUUCGGGAAACCGGAGCUAAUCCCGUAUAAUAUCUUGCUCCGCAUGGUUCAAUAGUGAAAUUCGGUUUUUCUGUCACUUAUCGAUGGAUCCGCGCCGCAUUAGCUAGUUGGUAAGUUAACGGCUUUCCAAGGCAACGAUGCGUAGCCGACCUGAGAGGGGGAUCGGCGACAUGGGAACUGAGACAGGGACCAGACUACUACGGGAGGGAGCAGUAGGGAAUCGUCCGCAAUGGGCGAAAGCUUGACGGAGCAAGGCCGCGUGAGUGAUGAAGGUCUUCGGAGCGGAAAACUCGGUUAUGAGGGAAGAACAAAUGUGGAAGUAACUAUGCACGUCUUGACGGUACCUAAUCAGAAAGCCACGGCUAACUACGUG
rnacentral:rRNA from 1 species